AAAUUAUACUCCCUCAGUCCCGUAAUGGUUGUCUUGUUUUCUUUUUGCACGAAAUUUAAGGGAGCAAAGUAAAAGUUGUUUGUUUUCCAGUUUUGCCCCUUUUUAUUUUCUCUCACCAACCACGUACUCAAGAACCCACUAGAACACUGCACACUAUACACUUCUUCUCUCUCUUUGUUUCUAUUUCUCUGGUUCUAGUUCUCUCUCCAGAUAAGAAUUCUAAAAUUCUCUACAAUGAAAAUUUUAAU